GACGAACGCUGGCGGCGUGCUUAACACAUGCAAGUCGAACGGAAAGGCCCUGCUUUUGUGGGGUGCUCGAGUGGCGAACGGGUGAGUAACACGUGAGUAACCUGCCCUUGACUUUGGGAUAACUUCAGGAAACUUGGGCUAAUACCGGAUAGGAGCUCCUGCUGCAUGGUGGGGGUUGGAAAGUUUCGGCGGUUGGGGAUGGACGCGCGGCUUAUCAGCUUGUUGGUGGGGUAGUGGCUUACCAAGGCUUUGACGGGUAGCCGGCCUGAGAGGGUGACCGGCCACAUUGGGACUGAGAUACGGCCCAGACUCCUACGGGAGGCAGCAGUGGGGAAUAUUGCACAAUGGGCGGAAGCCUGAUGCAGCAACGCCGCGUGCGGGAUGACGGCCUUCGGGUUGUAAACCGCUUUCGCCUGUGACGAAGCGUGAGUGACGGUAAUGGGUAAAGAAGCACCGGCUAACUACGUG
rnacentral:rRNA from 1 species